CGGCGUAGUAAUGCAUCGGAACGUACCCUCUGGGUCGGGAGUAGCGUACGGGAAACUGUAGGUAAUACCCGAUGAACUCUGCGGAGACAAAGGUGAGAUUCCGCCGGAGGAGCGGCUGAUGUGAUAUUAGCUAGUUGGGUGGGGUAAUGGCCCUAACCAAGGCGAUGAUGUCGUAGGGGGUGUGAGAGCAUGGCCCCCACGACCGGAACUGAGAUACUGUCCGGACACCUACGGGUGGCUGCAGUCGAGAAUCUUCCGCAAUGGACGAAAGUCUGACGGAGCGACGCCGCGUGCGGGAUGAAGGCCCUUGGGUUGUAAACCGCUGUCAGAGGGGAUGAAAUCUCCGGAGGUACUCCUCCGGAGUUGACAGAGCCUCAAAGGAAGCACGGGCUAAGUACGUG
rnacentral:rRNA from 1 species